AUUGAACGUUGGCGGCAGGCCUAACACAUGCAAGUCGAGCGGAUGAAGAGAGCUUGCUUUCUGAUUCAGCGGCGGACGGGUGAGUAAUGCCUAGGAAUCUGCCUGGUAGUGGGGGACAACGUUUCGAAAGGAACGCUAAUACCGCAUACGUCCUACGGGAGAAAGUGGGGGAUCUUCGGACCUCACGCUAUCAGAUGAGCCUAGGUACGAUUAGCUAGUUGGUGAGGUAAAGGCUCACCAAGGCGACGAUCGUUAACUGGUCUGAGAGGAUGAUCAGUCACACUGGAACUGAGACACGGUCCAGACUCCUACGGGAGGCAGCAGUGGGGAAUAUUGGACAAUGGGCGAAAGCCUGAUCCAGCCAUGCCGCGUGUGUGAAGAAGGUCUUCGGAUUGUAAAGCACUUUAAGUUGGGAGGAAGGGCAGUAAGUUAAUACCUUGCUGUUUUGACGUUACCGACAGAAUAAGCACCGGCUAACUUCGUGCCAGCAGCCGCGGUAACAC
rnacentral:rRNA from 1 species